CCAAGAGUCCUGGGUAUAGAGCCAUGGAAGUUGGCUGAUCCCUGAAGCGGUGAGUGGGCUCAGGCAGAAGCUGAAGUGUUGUCCUUGGUACAGGUUCCUUACAGACACGUCUUUGUAGAGAAGUUUGAUAACAGCAGUACUGUGCUGCCGUCUAGCGACCAAAGCCUGAACUGCGGCGUGAACUUUGCCCAGCUGUAAGAGGCCAGGCCCUGGACUCCAUCAUGGACCCACUCUCAAGCCAUUGCCAUAAUUACAAGAUGUGGAAGUGUUCAGAUGUCAUUGAAUUUUGUGCG